GUUUUAAUAAUUUAAAAAAAAAUACUGGUCUUGUAAAUCAGAAAUGAAAGCAUUCUUAAAACU
rnacentral:tRNA from 1 species